UGGUUCUGGCAUCGAUGAAGAACGCAGCGAAAUGCGAUAAGUAAUGUGAAUUGCAGAAUUCAGUGAAUCAUCGAAUCUUUGAACGCACAUUGCGCCCGCCAGUAUUCUGGCGGGCAUGCCUGUUCGAGCGUCAUUUCAACCCUCAAACCCCCGGGUUUGGUGUUGGAGAUCGGCAUGAGUCCCCCUCGGGGGUCGAAGCCGUCUCCCAAAUGGAUUGGCGGUCUCGCUGUAGCUUCCUAUGCGUAGUAGCACACCUCGCACUGGAAAGCAGCGCGGCCACGCCGUUAAACCCCCCACUUUCUGAGUUUGACCUCGAAUCAGGUAGGAUUACCCGCUGA
rnacentral:misc_RNA from 1 species